rnacentral:rRNA from 1 species
CUAAUACAUGCAAGUUGAGCGCUGAAGGUUGGUACUUGUACCGACUGGAUGAGCAGCGAACGGGUGAGUAACGCGUGGGGAAUCUGCCUUUGAGCGGGGGACAACAUUUGGAAACGAAUGCUAAUACCGCAUAAAAACUUUAAACACAAGUUUUAAGUUUGAAAGAUGCAAUUGCAUCACUCAAAGAUGAUCCCGCGUUGUAUUAGCUAGUUGGUGAGGUAAAGGCUCACCAAGGCGAUGAUACAUAGCCGACCUGAGAGGGUGAUCGGCCACAUCGGGACUGAGACCCGGAAAGAACACCUACGGGACCCCCCAGUAGGGAACCUCCCUCACCGGAGGAAAGGCCAAGCCAGCUACGC